CUUUUUUCUUCUCUCUCCCCUCUUAUUUAUCUCCAUAGUAACACCCACUUUCCAUUCUCCCCCUCCUACUUAUCUUCAUAACAACAUCCACUUCCAUCCCUUUUUUCAUUCAUUUUUUCUUCCUAUUUUUCCUCUCCACUUCUUGACCACUAUCUUCACUACGCCACCUAUGUUGAUGCCAUCUCUCCACCAGCUGUGUUACAUUGUUAACAUCUUUCUUUUCUUUGUUCAUUGUCAAUCUCUACAUAGCCGCCAAUAAGGAUUGAUCACCACCAGUUCUUGCCCACUCCCACACUGCCCAACUUGUCCCCGAAAGCUUCACCUUCCUCUCGCAUCCAUGGCCAUGGUUUCCUAGAGUUUCAAAAUGGGUAAGUCUUCCCCUUGAUCUGUACAGUAGUGGUUUAUGGAUAAAUUGAGACAUGUGUGAAAUCAUAGAAGUGAUUUUUGUAGUUUAACUAUUUUUAGUUUUAACUAACAACUUUUAUCAUUACUUUAUUUAGUGAAGUAUCAUUAUUAAUUCUUUUUUCAAUUAAAAAAAAAGUACCUCACAUAUAUUCUUAAGUACUAUUAUCAAUAUUUCAAUGAUGGAAAAUGAACUAACAUGGAAAUAAUCCUACUCAAAAAAUUAAUUUAGUGCCCAAAAUAUUAAUUCCAUGUAAAGAUUUUUUGAUAAAAAUUUCAUAUUUUAUGUUCAACUAAGAAAGUAUAGUGUAUCUUAGUUUUCAAUGAUAGUUUUAGAAAAAGUUCAUAGCAAUUUCUAAUUAUAAGAACUCAAUCAUAAGUUCAAUCAAAAUUCUUCAAUUGAACAUUAAAAUAUACAUAAAUUAGGUCAUAUUUGAUUGUUUGGUAUACGCACAAAUUUUGAAAAAGUCAUGCAACAUAAGAAAAAUAAUAGGACAAUAAUGUGAAACAAAAUUUUUAUUAAAAUUGAGAAAUUGUGGGGUACAAUCUUUAUAGUAAUAUUCUUUUACAAAAGAAUAUAUCUCUCUGAUUCUUUCACAUUUAUCACAAUUUGGAAAACAACGAUUAUCAAUCAAGCGCCGUAAGUGGCUUAUUCCCGAAUGAAUUCGUUAAACAACGAAGAUCGUGUGUGUAGACAAUGAAGAUGUUUUCUUUGUUUUCAAAGUCAAUCGAGGGCCUAAAGUGACUUAUUCCCAAAUAACUUUGUUGAAAGGUAAAGAACACGUGUGUAGUUCUUCUACAAUUUCUUCAACUUAUAGGGAGAUUUUAUGAAGUCUUUUCUUCUUUGUCAAGCUUCAUUUCUCGUGUGGAAGUCGCCCCUAUUUAAAGGUGAAAUUAGGGAAUUAAAUUUUGGAGUUCCCUAAAGUUUAGUUGCUUGAUUUUAGCAACUCAUCUUUCUCAUUAAGGAAAUUUUCCUACAAGAGAAUAUUUAUUUAUUCUUUAUUCUCUUUUGAUUUCAAUUGAAAUAUUUGUUUACUUUAAGAAUUUGUCAACAAAAAAGAAUUUGUUUCCUUUUUUUAAUUCUCCUUUGAAAAAGAUUUAAUUUUAUUUGUAAGACUAAAUUUUAUAAUCUUUCAAAAUCGCCACGUUUCACCUUUUUAACAUAUGCCACAUGUCAAAUGUAUGUCGUCAAUCCCAAAUUUUGUCGAAUUGGAGAGCCACAUUUUUUUUGAAGACCAAUUUAGUGAUAAUUUAUUUCACUAAAAAUUUUGAUGUUUACACUUGGAUAUAGGGGUGUAAAUAAGGUAGGUUUUGUCGGUUUUUGAAUAAAAAAUUAACCGAAUUAAUAUAGUUGGUUUUAUACGUAAUAAAAACCAAAAUGACUAUAUUUAAAGUGAAAAAACUAAACCAAACCAAGCCUUUUGAGGUCGGUUUGAUGAUCGGUUUUCACCCAGCUUAAUAAUUUUUUUAGUCUUAAACCUAGUUAAAGAUUUGUGUUUAUUUUGAACUCAAAUCCCAUUAAUCUAAGUUUAUAUUAGGCCCUAAGUCUAAUUUAUUUUUAAAAUUAAUUGAAACCAACUUGGAUUUGAUUUUUAAAAUAUAUUAAAUGUAUUUAAAUUUAAUUUGACCAUAAUACAAAAACAAUGAAUUACUUCAAUAGAAUCUAAUAUAAACAAAUUUAUCAAAUAUAAAACAAUUAUAUAUAAGUUUUAAAAUAUCGGUUUGGUUCGAAUUUUAUCAAUUAGGAGGCAAGAAAUCGAAAACCGAAUCGACAAGAUCGGUUUUUAAAAUUUUCAAAUUGAAUCAACCUUUUUUAUUUUUUAAAAUCGAAUUAAUAUGAUCAAUUUUGAUUGGUUUGGAUCUAUUUGUCGGUUUUUUCGAUUUUGUUUACACCCCUACUUGGAUAUACUAUUAACCAUUUUUUUUUAUAUCCUUUGUACAUAGGAUAUGUUAAUGUUAAGCUAAUAAGAUAUUCAUAUCUCAUAUAUCAUAAAAAAAUUAUUUUUUAUCAUUUUUAUGUUAUUUAUUGUUCAAAAUAAAUAAAUUUGUUGCUAAAAAUGAACAAUUUUAAAAAUGUUUAUAUUUAAAAUAAAUUUUUUACUUAUAAUUUUUUAAAAUAUUUUAAUCCUGGAUUUUGUUAAAUAUGAGAGAAAUUUCAUAUUUCUUAAUAGCAAAUAUUGGAAUAUAAUAUAGGGUGUAUUAGGCAUUUGCAUAUACAAUUUAGAGGUUAAUAUUAUUAAAAAAAUAAAAUAAAUAAAAACAAAUAGAUGCUUAUUUUUAAAAAUUACCUUAAAAUAAUUCAAAAUUAAAAAAUAAAUAAAUAUAAUUAAAGAAGCCCAAUUAGUUGAAACAAUGGAAUACUUCCGAGAAGAAUUGGACUUUAAUUUUAAAAUAAUUUCAAAAUUAGAUAAUUGGAGUAUUUUGAAUUGUCCACACAAAAGAUGACAACAAGUUGACUAGUAUCAUUAAAACCAUCCCUUAUGAGGUAAAUCCUUCUGAUAAAGGAGUGGGGGAAAAGAGUUGGUUGCAGAGAUGAUAGGGACAUAUAUUAUGAUAUUUAUGUGAGAUGUGGAAUAAGAUAUAUGGGCAAGUGUCAUUACCAGGAAUAGGAAUGACAUGGGGCUUAACAGUAAUGGCAAUAAUAUACUCUAUUGGUCCAUGUCUCUGGUGCUCUCCUCAAUCCCUCCAUUACCAUUGCCUUCAGGUCUCUCCUUUCCUUCUCAUCUACCCUCCAAUCCAUUACUCUUCCCAAAAAACUAGAAACGACUACCACUAAACAUAUUUCAUUCUUUUUGACCUUUUAGGAAUACUAUUAAGCUUUAAUAAAACUUGCUGUCCAUCAAAAGUAUUAAAAGGAAUUAUAGGCCCUAUUUGUAAAUGUUUGAUAACCAAGAAAAUCCAUUUUCUCCUUUAUUUUACCUUUUUUCACUUACUUUCUAAAGACCAUUUUAAAAAAUAAUUAUAUAAAUAUAAAAAUAAUUAAAAAUAAAAUAAUAUAGAUCAAUAUUAUUUUUAAAAUCAUAUUUAAAAACAAAGAAAAUAAUAAGUUAAGAACAUUUCAUGUUCCUACAUAUAUUUUUUGUUUUAAAAAAUAUGUUAAAACUAUUUUUUAAAAACACUUCCCAAAUAAAAUUAUAAUAUCUAAGAAGAGAGAAAAAGGAAAGGAAAUAUAAUGAGUUUAAAAAAUCAAUUUUUUUUUUAAGAAAAAAAAAACAAAAAUGUUUUAAAAUGCUUUUCAAAUUUCUUUAUGUAAAUAAAAUAUUAUAAAUUAACAAAAAAAAAUUAUUAACAACAUUUACUCUGGAUCUUGUGAGUUUAUUCUAGAUUAAUAAUAUAUUUGAACAUUGAUAUUGUAGGUUCCGUUAUACAUAACAGCUCAAUUAAUAGGAUCACUUUUGGCAAGUGGGACUUUAUCAUUGUUGUUUGAUGUCGAUCGUGAAGCUUUUUUUGGAAUUGUUCCCAAUGGACCACAUGGUCGGUCGAGUCGUUGAAAGCAUCAUCACCUUCCUCUUGAUGUUCGUAGUCUGCGCCGUUGCCACAUAUAGUAGAGCGGUAUCCAAAUUUUUCAAUCAAUAUGAUUUGUUUUGACAUACAUUAUUGAUCUAUUAUCUAACAAUCAAAGUUUAGCUUUGAUUUAAUUCUUUCUUUUUUUUUUUUUUAUGUAGAGUGGAGGCUUUGCUGGUCUCGCCAUUGGAAUGACUAUAUUGUUAGAUGUACGUCAUGAUGGCCGCGUUAUUCUAAAUGAUUCUUGAAAGUUUGAUCUUCAAAUUUAACAAAUAUGGCUAACCCAUUUGAAAUUGUCUUUGAAAAAUAUUGAAGGCUCGUAUCAGGAGCAUCAUUGAACCCAGCAAGAAGCAUCGGACCAGCUAUGGUGAAGCAUAUCUAUACACAGGACUUUGGAUCUAUAUAUUUGGCCCAAUUAUUGGAGCCAUUGCAGGAAUCUAUAUAGUUGGGCCAAUUAUUGGAGCCAUUGCAGGAAGACUUGCCUAUAAUUUACUCAAAUUUACUGAUAAAUCUCUUAUUGAGUUAACCAAGACUAGGAACACCUCCAAGAAUGCUCUCACUAUUUCCUAGUAAUUUUUCAUGCAUGGCUUGUUUCUUUUUGUUCCCUUUCCUGGAUCUUCAUGUAUUUCUCUUUAAAUUUCUUUCUUUUAGUUUUAAUUAUUAUCAAAUAAUUAACAGCUCAUUCAUAAUGUUAGGGUUUCUCUAAUUUAUGCACAAACAAUCAUAACCCUAAUUCCCAAAUUUAAACUCUUAGUCUUUAAUUUAUGCAAAAUAAUCAUAACCCCAAUUCCUAUAGAAUAAUCAUAACCCUAAUUCUUGUAGAACAAUCAUUAACCAUAAUUCCUAAAUCUUAAAUCUUUAUGAUUUUCAAAAAUAAAAUAAAUAAUCAAAAAAGUAUACCUUGAUCCGUAAGAUUGAUCUUAAAGAAAAAUUUGGUUUCUCUUUUUUGAUCCCUUUCUUGAUGGAGAGAAAAUUGUAUGUGUAAUGGGUAGAGAGAGGACCAAAUCUAAAUAGGGUGUCCUAUUUAUUUAGAAAACAUAUCCUCAACGGACCAAUAGGAUUUUAGCACCCAAUAUUAUUAACCAUAAUUAUUUUUUAAAUUAAAUAAAAGAUAAUUAAUAAUAAAAUAACCCACAUAGGCAAAAAAAAAAAGUAACAUUUUCCUACUUGGCCCAUGUAGCAUUAUCAUGGUUUCAUAAUAAUAAAACAUAAUAUGCAUAAUAUAAGCUAGAUCAUUUUUUACUUUAGUCACAUCAUAAAUCAUCAUUAAGCAAAAAUUAAUAAGGAUCAUAGAGGUCAUAUGUCAUUAUCUUGACAUAGUCCCUUCCAUGUAUCACAAUAUUUAGUUUCAAACUUAAACCUGCAAUGAGAUAUAUCAUAAUGGUCCAACAAUAAUGUCUUCAUUAGAGACAAAUCUGGUUAAAACUCACAUAAUUCAUUUAUGUAUAUACUAACAAUAAGAAACAGGAUAUUCAAAUAUCAUAAACAAUAUUUAAAUAAACUCAGAGUAUCGAAUACAUAAAAGCACAAAAUAAUAACAUUAUGUCAACAACAGUACCCAAUAAUGCCAAUUCUUUCAACAUGUUCAUUAAAUGUCUUUGGUGGUAAUCCUUUUGUUAAUGGAUUCACAAUUAUAAGGUUGGUAAUAAUGUGCUUAAUUGACACCCUUUGUUUCUGAACUUCUUCUUUAAUGACAAAGUAUUUUACUUUCAUGUGUUUAGCACCCUUUGAAUACUUGUCAUUUUUCGAAAAAAAAUAUAGUUGCAAAGUUAUCACAAUAAAUUUCCAAUGACUUGGUAGUAUUAUUGAUAAUUCCAACUCUUGAAAUAAAGUUUUGUAGCCAUGACCCAUGAACAAUGGCCUCAAAGCAUGACACAAACUCAACUUUCAUAGUGGAUGUAGUAGUGACAGACUACUUUGCACUCUUCCAUGAGAUCACACCUCCAGCUAAAAGGAACAAAUAGCCAAAUGUGGAUUCUUGUAUCAACACAUCCAACAUAAUUCAAAUAUGAAUAUCUAACCACAUCUAGAUGGUUAGAUCUCUUGUAAGUGAGCAAGUGAUCCUUCAUUCCUUGCAAGUAUCUCAAUACUUUCUUUGCAACUUUCCAAUGAUCUAAACCUAGAUUUAUUUGAUACAUGCCCAACAUUUCGACAACAAAACUGAUGUCUGGCUUGGUACAAGUCUAAGCAUACUAUAGACCCUCCAUUUGUCCUCUUAGCACAUGUAAUACUAGUUUCUACCCUGUGUUUCCCUUUUACCUUGUGAUCGUUCCUUGGUAACCCAUUGACACUCAUACAACUUCUUUUUUUAAGCCAUCUUCAGGGACCCUUGUGUAAAGGAGUUCAUUAGGACCCUCGCUAUGAACUUAGCUACUUUUCACGCCUAGUUUAGGUAACAUAGACGCACCCUAACUCAUUUAGACAUACCUGGCCCAUUUGGACACACUUAAACCCACUUAGGUACACCUAGACAUCUUUUACGCAAACUCACUUAGUAACACUUUAGAUCAUUCCAAUCCACUUAGUUAUACUUUAACUUAAUCCACUUGAUUGCAUUAUAAGUGCACUUCAAAUUAGUUAAUUUAGAUACAUAUUCAUUUUAACUUGAAUUUUGGUAAGGUAAAUUUUAUUUUAUUUUAUUUUAUUUAUUUAUUUAUUUAUUACUAUUAUUAUUAGUAUUAUUAUUAUUAUUAUUAUUAUUUUGGUAAAUUAAAUUUUUUUAAAUGUUUCAAUAUAAUUUUUUUAAUGAAUAAAUUUUUGGUAAGUUAUUAUUAUUAUUAUUAUUAUUAUUAUUAUGGUAAAUUAGUUUUUUGAAAUGUUUCAAUAUAAUGUUUUUAAUGAAUAAAUUUUUGGUAAGAUAUGAUUAUUAUUAUUAUUUUGGUAAAUUAAUACGUAUUUGGUAGGGACUAGGCCUGGGAACCCUGAACUUUUGACACUGAAGGUUGUGAGAAUGAUUCAGAGUGCUUAUCUUUUGUUUUAUGAUAGACUGGUCUCCAAUGAUGUGUAGGGAAUUGGUUGGGCCUGAUGCUAGACUUCUCUACGUUGGGAAGACCGUUGGAUACCACAGCAGAACCCAAGAGGAGAUGCAUGAAUUACUUCUGAGUUUUGCUGAAGCUAGAGCUACAGUUGUGAGACUUAAAGGAGAGGAUAGGGCACUUUGAAAAGGAAAAACUUGGGGAUGUAUUAAGGGGAUUGGGAAGGAGGAAAUGGGGGUUUUCAAAGGGUUUCUACAUGGGGAAAAGAUGAGAGAUUUUCGAAAAAAACAGAGGAUGAACUAUUUUUAGAUAAGGAAGAAUUCAUAUUCGAGUGAGAAGGGUUGUUUUUUUUAAAAAAAAAAUGGAAGAUCGGCAGAGAUUCUGAAAGAAAGAAAAAUGGAGAGCUAGGUGAGGAGAUUUUGGAAAAAAAAAAAACAGAACAAAAAAACGAGAGGAGUUUUCUAGGUAUGACUACUGUAGCUUCUUGUCUCUCGUUUUUUACACUACUUUACUUUCAUUUCCAGUUGCUAUUCUGAGCUUUGCUUUGUUGAUUGGAGUGGACAUUAAGGGCCACUCGUUUGCUUUGUUAGAUCUAAUCUUUACAUGCAUGCUCUAUUUUGGCUUUAUAUUUUGGUAUUUUUGUUCUUCUUUGGUAAAUACAUGAUGCACUGAUCUUUCCCUGAGUUUGAUACAUAAAAAUCAUGCUUAUGUUUCCUUUUAGAUUCCACCUAUAUCUAGUUCAUUGACACUUAUGAAAUGGAGCCUGGUUUGACCAUAUUUUUUAUUUGCACAUGCUCUGUUUCUAUUUUUUUUUCCCUUUCUUCUCUGUUUCUGUUUUGGCGUGCUUGGGGGUGUUGAGUACCUCAUUUAGGAUGACCAUCUGUUUGGGGUACUUCUAAGAGAGUCCUAUGCGAGCCACUUUGCAUUACAAUUGGAAAUUUCAGGAUGCCUAUAAAAUAAUGUGAACGACUACAAUGGAGAUGGAUUUGAAAAGUAAAGAAGAUGAUGUUCAUGGGUAUCAGGCUAGUUUAAUAGAUUCAGUUGUGGAAGGCAUCAGUAAGGCGUCAUGGCUUUCGAGAUUUAGCUUCAUUUAGCUCCAUUGGUACGUGUCUUUGGCUUCUCUCUUCAUCGAGGCCCACUCGCCAAACAGGAGAAGAGCCUUGCAGUUCUUUUCAUGGUCAAGGUCAUUGGUGAAUAUAGUACCUGAGUCAACUUUGGUAGAACUUGGGGUGCUUCUAAAUUCACGCUAUGGAUCUAAAAAAAUCCACCCAAAAGGUUUCUAAAAGUGGCCCAAGAGUCAAUUUCAAAUUGAGUAACAAGCAUAUCACCACAAAGCACGAUGAACAACUAAGCAGAAAGGGGAUCCUUCACAUGUACUACAUGAAAAUGGAAAGUCAAGGGUAACAAGUAUGAUGACUAACAUAUGCUAUGAGGACAAAAUGGAAGGCCUAUAGCUUGAUGAGUUUAUUAACUAUCUUAUAUUUUAGAAGAGCUUCGUGAGGUUGUUACGAAGUAUUCAAAUUAAGGCCUUUUUCACAUGAUUUUAGAGAGUUGGCAUGGCUUUAUUUUUUAUGUAUAUUAGUCUUUAGUAUCAACCAUGUGAGAGCCUAAGAGCAUGAUGUUUGAGGUUUGGUUAAAGGUUGGGUAACCAUCAUUUCAUAAGCUUAUUUACCAACACCUUUAUGUAUAGAGUUACCCCUAGCUAGCCAAUUGAGUCAUGCAUGCUUAGCCUUUUCAUUCAUGACCCAAUUUUUUUUUUUUUUUUCAUACCUUGGGUUAAGGGCACCUUAGUAUAUGUUGUUUAUAGAUGAGAUUACCUAAAUCAUGAACUUCAUAGUUGAUUCAUCUUUUGUAUUCAUUGUAUUCAUCUUGAUCACUUCUUUAUACUUUUUGCCAUACAUUUUCUCAAUGUUUGUUGUCCCUAUUUGAGUGAUCACUCAUUAUUUCUAUCACCAUGAGUUCAUAUUUGUACAUAUGGUAUAACUUUUUCAGUAUGUAUAUAACGAGAUUUGUUAUCAAGCUACCCUAGGAUCCUUGUAUAUGAUUUCAUGAAUUCAAUGGUUUGACUAUUGUAAAGAAUAAAAAAAUUAAAAAUAAAUUUAAAAAACCAAAAAAAAAUAAAAAAUAAAAGAAAAAAAAUGUUGUGAUGCCAAUCUUUGUAGGUAACCUAUAUGAUGAUUUUGGUCUUCCCAUUAUAUGUAUCCAUUUCUACCCAUACAUCGAGUUAUGAUUGAGUUAAGGGUUUCAUUUCUAACUAUGACUUAUUUUUAAGGUUCAUAUACUUUAUUACACUUCUCAAUCAGAGCUUUAACUUCAUUUACCUUAGUCGUCUUGAUUUUUGCUUGUGUAUUGAGUUAUCAUCCAUCAACAUUGUUUAUUUUAUCUUCAACCAUUAUAUUAUUCCUCUUAUUUUUAUGAGCCUAUUAUAGAGUCUCACUCUUGUCAUUUUCAUUUAGCUAACUUAUUCAUCUAGAUUGUUGCAUACUUGUGUAGUCUUUGUUCUUAUCUUGAUUCCAUUGAUUCAUUAUUCUCUUCAUUAAUAUUGAUAUUUUUAUUCAUUCAGUCACUUGUAUCAUAAAGUAUUUGUGAAGUCCAUGACUUUGGAGCUUCUCUAUCUAUCACAUUAUGUAUGCCAAAGGCAUAGAUAUUUUACCAUUGGGAUUAUUGAGUCUGGUUUUCUUUCAUUCCUUUCACCUAUUACCUUAGCCUACAUUAUAUUCUGAGUCUUAAUACCACCUUGAGGCCAUGACAUCAUUCAUUGUUCUUGACAGCUCACACAUGGGUAGCUUGAGGUUGGUUGGAGAUUACUUGGAUUAUGAUAGAUCAAAAGUUAUGAGAUAACCUUACAUUGAGAUAUCUCUCAUCAAUGUUUCAUUUUUGAGAUGAUAGUUUAUACUAGGGCAUAGCCACUUUAUUCCUUCUCAUAGAGUAUGAUGGAUCAGGAGUUACAAGACGAUGCUACACUAAGGCAUAACCCUCUCAUGGAUGUUUGAUUUUCAAGAUGACAAUUUAUACUAGGGCAUAGUAGUUUGAGAGAACAUUUUAUACUAGGGCAUAGCCACUCUAGAGAGCUUAUAUUAAAGCAUAUACACUCAACUUGAUUUCUUACACUAGGGCAUAACCUUUUUUUUUGGAGGUGAUCAGAUAUAUUCUUACAUUAGAGUAUAAUGAGUGAUAUGAGGAUUAUUGGAUAUCUCAUAUUAUUAUUCUUUUAUACUGGUGCAUUGCCAUCUCAUUCCUUCUCACGUUGCAUGAUAAAUCACAAAUCACGAUGGGGUAAAGCCACUUUCUUGGAGGAUUAGAUAAUCCUUUUAGAUUGGAGUAUAAAGAUGGUUGAGAGAUAAUGAUUUGAUAUGAUUAUAUUGGGGCAUAGCCAUCGUAGGAAGUGCUAUUCAUAUUAGGGCAUAGCCACUUUGUUAGAUAUUUGACAUUGAGAUAUGACCACUUGAUUAUGAUUGGGAAUUUUGAUGGAUUACAAAAAUUAUGAUGCUUUAGGUUCAUUCUUCUUAGUAUAUUUGGUUUAAUCUUGGAUAUUCAUCUGUAUUUGUUACAUACCUAAAUAUUCCACCUUUGAUAUCUUCACACCUAUAUUUACCUUGUCAAAGUUUAAUUGUUCUACCUUUAUCCUCUUUCAAACCUACCCAUUUCAUCAUACAUAACCUUAUACCACUCUCUUGAUUAGGGGAAGAUGUAAAUUAGUCCUGGAAUUUUCCUUGUCAUGCUUUCUUAUGCCUUUUGGACAUUGAGUACAACAUUGUCCAUGAUGGCAUGACCUGAUAGAUUGUUGAUGGACUUGUGAUGUUGUUUUUUAUUUUGAUAUUCGACAUGCCAUGUCUUGAUUUACUUGCAUUUAGACUCAAAGUCUUGGUUAGUUUUGUUUCUAUCCAUUAUAUAGUUUCCUCUUACCAACAUAGUCCUAAGACACAAUUUUGUUUAACCUUUUUUACUCAACUUAGACAUUUUUAUCUCAUUAUCGAUGAAUUUAUCCUAGACUGCAGUAGUUGUUAUAUAACAUUUCGUAUCUUAUGUCUUUUCCUUUUUUUAGUCUCAUGCCAAUUGUCUUUUAGUCUUUGAAAUCGCAUUUUUAGUAUCAUCUAGGUCAUCUUUUAGCCUUAAAUCGCACCUUUAGUAUCUUUAGGUUCUCCUUUUCACUAUCUAUUUUGCCCAUCAAUCAUCUUGAGCUUUAUUAUUUCAUAAUCUUCUCAAUCAUCUUUUGGCUUGGAGCCACACUUUAAUGUUUAGUGUUAUUCUAGUCACAUUUUCAAUCAUCACAACUGUGUCUUACUAUCACAUAUCAAGCUCUUUAUAUUUUCUAUUAGUUUUGUGCCCCAAUCAUCUAAUCUUUUUAUGUUUUUAUUAGUAUCCAUAAAAUCAAAAUACCAAUAUAUCUAUGAUUACCGAUAUUUUCAUCCUUGGUCCUAUUAGUGCUACACCCCAAGUAUUUAAUCUUUUUAUGUUUCUAUUAGUAUUGUGUUUCAACUAUCUGACCUUUUUAUGUCUCAUGUUACUAUUAAGCCCUAACUGUCCAACUUUCUUUAUGUUUUCUAUUAGUGACACACUUAGACCGUCUAACCUUUUUAUGUUCUUAUUAGUGUCAUUCCAACUAUCCGACCUCCACUAUGUUUCUAUUAGUGUCACGCCUAAAUUGUCCAACCUUUUAAUGUUCCUAUUAGCAUCGCACCUUGAUUGUCCAACUUUCUUUAUGUUUCUAUUAGUGUUGCACCCAAAUUGCUCGACCCUUUUAUCUUCCAGAUAGUGUCGUGCCCUAACUAUCCAACCUCCUUUAUGUUUUUGUUAACGUCACACCCUGAUUCUCCAAUGGUUUUAUAUUUCUUUUAAUGUUACACCUUGAUUCUCUAAUCUUUUUAAUGUCUCCUAUUAGUAUCGUGCCUCAAUUGUUGAUCUUUUUCUACUUUCUUUUAUCGUUGCACCCAUAUUGUUUGACCUUUUUAUAUUCUUAUUAGUGUCACGUCCUAACUAUCUAGCCUUUUAUUUUUUAUUUUUAGUGUUGAAUCCUAAUUGUCUAGCUUUUUUAUGUGCCUUGUUAGUGUCGUACCUAAAUUGUUUGGUCUUUUUAUAUUUUUGUUACCAUCACACUUCAACUAUCUGACCUUUUUAUGCCUCUUGUUAGUGUCGUGCCUUAACUAUCUAGUCUUCUUUUGCUUUCUUUUAGCACCAUGCCCUGAAAUUUCAACCUUUUCAUGUUUUUCCUUUCAUUCAUAGCAUUGAGUUAUUCCUUUUUGUCCCAUUUUAUUUGUUAGAGCUUUCUAGUUGAACCUUAACCUUUUUUUAUCCAUUGUUUGACACUAAGUCACUUCCAUAAUAAUUUGUUUCCUUUUGCCCUUCUCUUUCUGAUGUUCCCAUUUGCCCUUCUUGAUAGCGUAGCCCUUAGUGCUUCAUGUAGACAUUGUACCCUAUUAUCCAUCAUAUGAAAUUGAGUCACUCCCUCGGUCAUCUAUUUCUUCUCUUGUUUCCUUUAUAGUAUGCCCAUUCAACCAUCUUAAUAGCAUGAACCCUAGUGUUUCACGUAAACAUUGUCAUAGUCCGCUUUGACAAAGCCUACUAGAGUUUCACAUAGAUAUUUCACAUUUCUCCUCAGCCACCCUUGAAUACCUUUCAUGAUUUAUAAAAUGAUAAAUUUGGUGGUCUUUCUUAUUCUCCAGAGCUCAUUUUGUUUCACUUGUAUAUACACUCACCUCAUUUGUGGACUCUAUUGAAGAGGGGUGUGUAUUUAUAGACCCUAAAUUUUGUCUUAAACCCAUUAUCACAUAUACUUAUUAUUAAGCCUUAUUUUGUUUCCUUUAUUUUCUUUUCCUUUUUUUCUUCUCUCUUCCCUCUUAUUUAUCUCCAUAGUAACACCCAGUUUCCAUUCUUCCCUUCCUACUUAUCUUCAUAACAACAUCCACUUUCCAUCCCUUCUUUCAUUCAUUUUUUUUCUUCCUAUUUUUCCCCUCCACUUCACUACCACUAUCUUCACUACGCCACCUAUGUUGAUGCCAUCUCUCCACCAGCUUUGUUACAUUGUUAACAUCUCUCUUUUCUUUGUUCAUUGUCAAUCUCUACAUAGCCGCCAAUAAGGAUUGAUCACCACCAGUUCUUGCCCACUCCCACACUGCCCAACUUGUCCCCGAAAGCUCCACCUUCCUCUCGCAUCCAUGCCCAUGGUUUCCUAGAGUUUCAAAAUGGGUAAG
rnacentral:lncRNA from 1 species